GUAAUUCAUUCUCACCACAUCGUGGCAGCAAAUUUUCUACAUUCGAUCGGGAUAAUGAUGGUCUAUCGGAUAUAAACUGCGCCCAACUAAAGACUGGCGCCUGGUGGUACGGCUCCGACGGUUUUUGUCAAUUCUGCAAAUUGACGGGAACAUACGGAAACAACGAUUAUGAGAAAAGGGUCAGUUGGUUCACCUUUCUGGGACCUGAAUACUCCUUGAAGAAGGCCGUUAUGAUGAUUCGGCCCAAAAAGUGAAUUUAUUCUAAUCUGCUUAAAUCU